rnacentral:tRNA from 1 species
CGGAGCGUAGCUCAGAUGGCUAGAGCGCAGCGUUUGGGACGCUGAGGCCGCGAGUUCAAGUCCCGCCGCUCCGACUA